AUUGCAUUAAAAGUACUUGCAUAUCAUUUAACAAGCUUUGAAAGCUAAUCCUGGUGUAAAAUAAAUUUCAUCCAUUACUAAACAUACCACUAAUUCAUGGUCUUACAAAUGAAUUUUUCUGCCUUUCAGAUAACUGAUGUUCUCCUUUAUUGAUGCACUGACUAAAAUUUGCACAUCAAUUUUUUCAAAUUUUGAGGAUGUGGAAGGACAGAAACCAUCUUUCCAUAAUGCACCAUAUGCUAAUGCUGAAUACAUACAUAAGCAUGAAGACGACAGUAUCAUUGUACAAUUUAAUAUCAAUGAGCAUUUUUUGAUACCUUAUACAGUAGUAAUCGUUCAAGAAAUUGUAACUCUUCAGAUGUAGAAUAUUCUUGUGUUUGUUUAAGUGCAGACAUAGUAACAUCGAAUUUGUCAUACUGAACAUUUAUAUCAGUUGCUUCCACAAACUUCAUGAGCACAUUUAAAUUAUUAUAUGAUGUCAAACGUUUGCAUUUUAUUGAUAAUUUAGCAUUGGAAAACAUUGCUGCCAUUAACAUACACUUG
rnacentral:lncRNA from 1 species